AUGAACGCUAGCGGCAGGCUUAACACAUGCAAGUCGAGGGGCAGCGCGGGGCAGCAAUGUUCUGGCGGCGACCGGCGGAAGGGUGCGUAACGCGUGAGCGACAUGCCCGUUGCCCGGGGACAACCGGUGGAAACGCCGACUAAUCCCCGAUGGGACGGAGGCCCUCAUGGGUCUCUGUUGAAAGUUACGGCGGCGACGGAUUGGCUCGCGUCCGAUUAGCUUGUUGGCGGGGUAACGGCCCACCAAGGCUACGAUCGGUAGGGGUUCUGAGAGGAAGGUCCCCCACAAUGGAACUGAGACACGGUCCAUACUCCUACGGGAGGCAGCAGUGAGGAAUAUUGGUCAAUGGGCGGAAGCCUGAACCAGCCAUGCCGCGUGCGGGAAGGAGGCCCUAUGGGCUGUGAACCGCUUUUGCCUGGGGGCAAUAAGGGCGUCGCGCACGUCCGAUGAGAGUACCAGGGGAAUAAGCAUCGGCUAACUCCGUGCCAGCAGCCGCGGUAAUACGGGGGAUGCGAGCGUUAUCCGGAUUCAUUGGGUUUAAAGGGUGCGUAGGCUGUGCGUCAAGUCAGGGGUGAAAUUCCGGGGCUCAACUCCGGGGCUGCCCUUGAUACUGUCGCGCUGGAGUGCGGAUGCCGCCGGAGGAAUGAGUGGUGUAGCGGUGAAAUGCUUAGAUAUCACUCAGAACACCGAUUGCGAAGGCAUCUGGCGAAUCCGUAACUGACGCUGAGGCACGAAAGCGUGGGGAUAGAACAGGAUUAGAUACCCUGGUAUUCCACGCCGUAAACGAUGAUGGCUAACCGCCGGCGACACACUGUCGGUGGCCAAGCGAAAGCGAUAAGCCAUCCACCUGGGGAGUACGUCGGCAACGAUGAAACUCAAAGGAAUUGACGGGGGCCCGCACAAGCGGAGGAACAUGUGGUUUAAUUCGAUGAUACGCGAGGAACCUUACCCGGGCUCAAACGCAGGGGGAAUGCCGGUGAAAGUCGGCAGCUAGUAAUAGUCACCUGCGAGGUGCUGCAUGGUUGUCGUCAGCUCGUGCCGUGAGGUGUCGGCUCAAGUGCCAUAACGAGCGCAACCCCUGCCGCCAGUUGCCAUCAGGUGAAGCUGGGCACUCUGGCGGGACUGCCACCGCAAGGUGUGAGGAGGGGGGGGAUGACGUCAAAUCAGCACGGCCCUUACGUCCGGGGCGACACACGUGUUACAAUGGCGGCCACAGAGGGAAGCUACCCGGCGACGGGAUGCGGAUCUCGAAAAGCCGUCCCAGUUCGGACUGGAGUCUGCAACCCGACUCCACGAAGUUGGAUUCGCUAGUAAUCGCGCAUCAGCCAUGGCGCGGUGAAUACGUUCCCGGGCCUUGUACACACCGCCCGUCAAGCCAUGGAAGCCGCGGGCGCCUGAAGUCCGUGACCGAGAGGAGCGGCCUAGGGCGAAAGUGGUAACUGGGGCU
rnacentral:rRNA from 1 species